UACGUAGGGUGCGAGCGUUGUCCGGAAUUAUUGGGCGUAAAGAGCUCGUAGGCGGUGUGUUACGUCGGCCGUGAAAACCUGCAGCUUAACUGUGGGCGUGCGGUCGAUACGGGCAUCACUGGAGUUCGGCAGGGGAGACUGGAAUUCCUGGUGUAGCGGUGAAAUGCGCAGAUAUCAGGAGGAACACCGAUGGCGAAGGCAGCUCGCUGGGACGGUACUGACGCUGAGGCGCGAAAGCGUGGGGAGCGAACAGG
rnacentral:rRNA from 1 species